AUAUUGCACAAUGGAGGGAACUCUGAUGCAGCAACGCCGCGUGAGUGAAGAAGGUUUUCGGAUCGNAAAACUCUGUCAUUGGGGAANAAUACAUGACGGUACCCAAUGAGGAAGCCCCGGCUAACUACGUUCCAGCAGCCGCGGUAAUACGUAGGGGGCUAGCGUUGUCCGGAAUUACUGGGUGUAAAGGGUACGUAGGCGGCUAUAUAAGUCAGGUGUGAAAUACCAGUGCUUAACUCUGGAAUUGCAUUUGAAACUGUGUAGCUUGAGUGCAGGAUAGGAAAGUGGAAUUCCUAGUGUAGCAGUGAAAUGCGUAGAUAUAGGAAGGAACACCAGUGGCGAAGGCGACUACCUGGACUGAUACUGACACUGAGGUGCGAAAGCGUGGGGAGCAAACA
rnacentral:rRNA from 1 species